rnacentral:rRNA from 1 species
AGUCAAUAGAUACCCGGGUAGUCCACGCCGUAAACGAUGAGUACUAGGUGUAGGAGGUAUCGACUCCUUCUGUGCCGCAGUUAAACACAAUAAGUACUCCGCCUGGGAAGUACGGUCGCAAGAUUAAAAACUCAAAGGAAUUGACGGGGGCCCGCACAAGCAGCGGAGCAUGUGGUUUAAUUCGAAGCAACGCGAAGAACCUUACCUAGACUUGACAUCUCCUGAAUAGCGCAGAGAUGCGUGAAGCCCUUCGGGGCAGGAAGACAGGUGGUGCAUGGUUGUCGUCAGCUCGUGUCGUGAGAUGUUGGGUUAAGUCCCGCAACGAGCGCAACCCCUAUUAUUAGUUGCUACCAUUAGGUUGAGCACUCUAAUGAGACUGCCCGGGUUAACCGGGAGGAAGGCGGGGAUGACGUCAAAUCAUCAUGCCCCUUAUGUCUAGGGCUACACACGUGCUACAAUGGUGAGAACAACGAGAUGCAAUACCGCGAGGUGGAGCAAAACUUGAAAACUCAUCUCAGUUUGGAUUGUAGG